UAACCUGCCCACUGAAAUUUUUGAAGGGCCGCGGUAUUUUGACUGUGCAAAGGUAGCAUAAUCAUUAGUCUUUUAAUUGGAGGCUUGUAUGAAUGGUUGGAUGAGGUAUUAACUGUCUCAAUUUAAUAAAUAAUAGAAUUUUAUUUUUAAGUUAAAAAGCUUAAAUAUUAUUAAAAGACGAGAAGACCCUAUAGAUCUUUAUAAUUAGAUUUAUAAUAAUUUUUUGGAUUAAAUUUAUUUUUAUAGAAAUAAUUAUUAUAUUGGGGUGAUAAAAAAAUUUGUUAAACUUUUUUUUAAUAUAAACAAUAAUAUUUGAUUAGUUGAUCCAUUUUUUGUGAUUAUAAGAUUAAGUUACCUUAGGGAUAACAGCGUAAUUUUUUUGGAGAGUUCUUAUCGAUAAAAAAGAUUGCGACCUCGAUGUUGAAUUAAAGGUUAAUUUUAGGUGUAGAAGUUUAAAAUUUUGGUCU
rnacentral:rRNA from 1 species